rnacentral:rRNA from 1 species
ACGGAAGGCAGCAGUGAGGAAUAUUGGUCAAUGGGCGGAAGCCUGAACCAGCCAUCUCGCGUGCAGGACUACGGCCCUACGGGUCUUAAACUGCUUUUAUGGGGGGAUAAAGUCGGGCAUGCGUGUCCGUUUGCGGGUACCCCAUGAAUAAGGAUCGGCUAACUCCGUGCCAGCAGCCGCGGUAAUACGGAGGAUCCGAGCGUUAUCCGGAUUUAUUGGGUUUAAAGGGUGCGCAGGCGGCCCGUUAAGUCAGCGGUGAAAUGUCGGGGCUCAACCAGGGCACUGCCGUUGAAACUGGGGGGCUUGAGUACGGAUGAGGUCGGCGGAAUGUGACGUGUAGCGGUGAAAUGCAUAGAUGUGUCACAGAACACCGAUUGCGAAGGCAGCCGGCCAAUCCGCAACUGACGCUCAUGCACGAAAGCGUGGGGAUCGAACAGGAUUAGAUACCCUGGUA